rnacentral:rRNA from 1 species
UACGGGGGGGGGCAAGCGUUGUUCGGAAUUACUGGGCGUAAAGGGCUCGUAGGUGGCCAACUAAGUCAGACGUGAAAUCCCUCGGCUUAACCGGGGGAACUGCGUCUGAUACUGGAUGGCUUGAGUUCGGGAGAGGGAUGCGGAAUUCCAGGUGUAGCGGUGAAAUGCGUAGAUAUCUGGAGGAACACCGGUGGCGAAGGCGGCAUCCUGGACCGACGACUGACACUGGAGGAGCGAAAGCCAGGGGAGCAAAC